rnacentral:rRNA from 1 species
UACGUAGGGUCCGAGCGUUGUCCGGAAUUACUGGGCGUAAAGAGCUCGUAGGUGGUUUGUCGCGUUGUUCGUGAAAACUCACAGCUCAACUGUGGGCGUGCGGGCGAUACGGGCAGACUUGAGUACUGCAGGGGAGACUGGAAUUCCUGGUGUAGCGGUGGAAUGCGCAGAUAUCAGGAGGAACACCGGUGGCGAAGGCGGGUCUCUGGGCCUUACCUGACGCUGAGGAGCGAAAGCCAGGGGAGCAAACGGG